rnacentral:rRNA from 1 species
AUACGUAGGGGGCAAGCGUUAUCCGGAAUUACUGGGCGUAAAGGGUGCGUAGGUGGCCUGAUAAGUCAGGGGUCAAAGGCAACGGCUCAACCGUUGUAAGCCCUUGAAACUAUCGGGCUUGAGUUCAGGAGAGGAAAGCGGAGUUCCAAGUGUAGCGGUGAAAUGCGUAGAUAUUAGGAAGAACACCAGUGGCGAAGGCGCUUCUCUGGACUGUAACUGACGCUGAGGCUCGAAAGCGU